UUACUAGCAUGAAGUCGACUGCCUUUUUUAUGGAUAGGAAUCAUUCGCGCGUGUUUCCAGGACGCAGGAUACGUGCUACGCAUAAGGGAAGCAUUAAAUAUUUUGGCAAGAAUGGGUGCGAGUGAUUGACGGCAGUGCUUCAAAAUGUAUGCGGGAAUAUUGCCAGGUCCAGAUGAUGUCGAAGGUUUUAUAUCGCUGAGUGUGCGCGCAACUAGUGCUUCGUCAAUUGUGGGUAAAAUAAAAUCGAUAGCAUCCGAUGGAGUAUUGCGAGUGGCCUCAGCUAGUGUGUUAGGAUUGUGAACAGAAGGGGUGAAUGCAUCAGCGAAACGAUUGGCGAAAGUGUUGCAAAUAUUGGAUGUAUCGAUACUAGUUUCGCCGUUGUAGCUCAUUGACGGAGGGAUACUUCUUAAAUUGCGCCGUUUGUUCCAGAAGCUUUAGAACCGUGUCGGCUUAGAAAACAGCUGCCUUUCAGUACGGCGAAAGAAGGAGCGGUAGAGCACACGAUUUUGUCGACGAUAAUUGUUCAGUGCAUCGAAAAAAAUUCUCCUAUGCAGCGAGGAUCUCGUUCUACUGUAAUCCGCGUAGGCUUUUGAUUUUAUUUUUUUCAACCGUCGUAAAGAUGCAUUAGACCAAUCGGAGCCAGACUUUCGUUGAGCAACAGGAACGCAGGAGUUAAUCGCUGAGCGCAUAAAAACGCUAAAGAAAUCGGUGGCUUUGUCGAUAGUGGCAAAGUUGGAGCAGUCAAAAUUGCGGUCAAACGACACAAUAAGAGAAUUCAUACGUUCCACAUUCGUUUUGAAGAAAUUUCUAUUGACUGUACUGCAAGUGUGACUGUUAGUGGUGUGGGAUAGUUGUACGGGAUAAUAAAUCAUCAUAUCCAAUGAAGGAUGAUGAAAAUCCUCACUAAGAAGUGGAAUACUACAGUGUGUUACGUAUGGGAGGGAGUUCUCUGGAGCCGAAGUACCAUUCACAGAGUGCAGAGGUGUGAUUGAGUCGCACAAAAUAUUGGUUGCGGCAAGGUUUGCGAAGACCAGAUCCAAUUGACGCCCAGAUUGAUUUGCAAUACCACUCAACUGAAAUAAUCCGGUACUAUGCAACCCAUCCACGAAAUCGGUAUUAGCCACGGAAUUGCAUAAAGGUGCAUAAUGCAUGACAGAAUAACAUGGAGAGCAAUCAGUGGCUUCUGAUGUAUUAGUCAGCUCCCAUCUGAUAUCAGGUUUAUUGAAAUCUCCGAAGACGUAUAAUAAAUCGCUCUCUUUAAUGCGGCUUGAAAUUUCACGUACACUAUCAUGUAAAGCGUUCAUCACUGCGGGGUCAUUCGCAUGACUAGGCGGAAUGUAAACAACGCCGAUGUAAACAGAGACACCUGGCAGCAAUGUUUUGAUCCAAAGUUGUUCCAGUAUGGUAUUAGGCGAUGCGAUUUCACAUGUCGGUAUUGAAGAGGAACAUGCAAUUAAAACACCCCCACCGCGUGAGAGGGCACUGUUGGAAGGAUUCCUAUCGCACCUGUAGAUAUGAUAAUGAACGUCUGUGAGGAGCGAAGAAGGUAUGGACUGAGUAAGCCAAGUCUCAGUGAGAAUGAUAAAAUAAUAUUCUGAUUCUGAUAGCGCCAGGCGAAGAUUUGUAGUUUUCGUUCGUAGACCACGUAGAUUUUGAUAGUAGAUAGAGAGACUGGGAUGAGCUGAGCGAGGUGCAUCGCCGGAUGCAGUGCAAGAUUGCUAUUCAUCCGACGGGCCAGCGUCAGCAGAUUAAUCAGUUCGUUAAGCGUUUCCGCGCUGCGGUCUUUUUUUAGGCGCGGCUAAGCAUUCGGGAGGCGACCUGGUAGGUGUGGUAGUGACAAGCAUUCGCUCAUUAAGGUCCUGUUGUGGUUCGGUUUUAAACAAAGCUGCAUCUGUGGUGGUCAUAUCAUAUCAAGUUGCAACAGGCUGCGCGGGCGGAUCUGUAUUGGCAGUUGGUAUCGGAGUGCUCAAUCCAAACCGUGGGAAAGGAUUACGAUAAGUGUCUGUAGUGAGAGUGACAGGGUGAUCGAGUGUAGGUUGAAGCAUCGAAUUUGUAUCAGCAGCUGCGAGAGCAUUAGUGUUAAUAUUAUUGGUCCGGUAGUCACGGAACUCACGGUACGUUAGAGCGGAGGGUGAGAGGUGAGAGAGCCUUGCUGCGUAGAGUGACUGGUAUGCCCACCUUAAAUGAGACAAAUGAGAGUGUACUGGUGUCAGCGCCAAAUUUCGUCAGACGGUGAACGAACACGUCCCGCUUGUCGAGUGCUAGACGUACUUGCACCAUGUGUGAGAUUUGCUCAGUGGUGACCGAUGGGGCAAAACGUGUAAAGAAUAGCCACAUUCGCAUGUCAGUGUGUGGAAUGAUAUCCAAUGAAUCCGAGUCAAGCGGCGAUCCGGAUCCUCUAAGUAGUGGUGAUAGCGGCUUAAUAGGUGGUGGCAUGGUAGUGUUGGACGACGGUCCGCUCGCACUUACACUAAGUGAAGAGGCCAAGGAUGGAAACUGUUGUGACGAUGUAAUAUUGUUGACCCCUGAAGUAAACAAUCCUGGAUUCGAUGAUGCUGGUUUGCGAUGAAUGGGUUGUUGUGACGGCAAAUCAGUGGCGAUGUUCGACGAAAUCAGACAAGAACGGAUCUCGUCGUUAAGCACUUUCAGGAGCUCGCGCUUAUUAUCUGUGAUCUGUUGUGACAACUCUCUACGCAGCCCGCUUGGCAAAGAGUAACUCAUUUUGAUGCCUCUCGCUACCCCUGGCCCUAGUUUUGAAAGAAUCACGCGACACACUCGCACUCCACUACCCCAUCCCAUGGAAAAACGCUCCCACCAUCGAGGUGUUGACCAAAAUUUCGCUGUGUGCAUGAGACACACACUCGCACUCCUCCAGUCCUCCACAGCUGAACGCUCCCACCGUUGCGACAUUUGCGAGAAUUUUUGCUCUGAGCGUGAGACCCUGAAGCGCAAGGGAUGACACUAUGUGUAAAGACGAUCAUAAUUCAAUAUGGUCAAAAUGCGUCGAUUGUCGUUUCAUUUAUCUGGUAAUGAUGUAUUCACUUCAUCAAAAAUUUUAAACGUAGGCUGUACUAGGCUGAUAACAAUAUUUGAAAUUGAAAUCAGAAUAAAAUCAAUUCAUUUGAAGUAAAAUAAAUUCCAUUAUACUCUAUUUUGUCCAUAUGAUCAACACUUGUACAUAGUGCCAUUUAUUUUGUGUUCUUCACUCUCGCGCUGUGUUGUGAUCGUUCGAAACUCAUCGCCAGAACGAAUGCAAAUCUCAUAUGGGAAGGAUUGGUGCCGGAAGAUGCAGCGAAAAUUAUGAAAUGAUAAUAGAAAAGUGGUUAAGUUAAUCGUGAAAGAUGUCAACGCAGGCGCAAAUGCAGUAUGUUUUGUUACAUGAUCUACGGCUAUUUCAUUGCCAAAGCUCCUGAUAACAGAUCAAAGCAGAUGGAUCGGGCUUACAGAGUCGCCAUUUAACUUCAAAUAUCUUCGUGAUCGGAAAACGCAUCAAACAGCAAGUGUUUUUCUUCCAACAGCACGCGCCAUCGGUGGAGCAAGCAGCCAACGUUUUGAUCGCUAGUACGCGCCAUCAAGAAUAGAAAUAUUCCCGAAUAGCUCUGUGAAUAAAAAACUGCACAUUUACUGUCCGAA